rnacentral:rRNA from 1 species
AUUGAACGCUGGCGGCAUGCCUUACACAUGCAAGUCGAACGGUAACAGGUCUUCGGAUGCUGACGAGUGGCGAACGGGUGAGUAAUACAUCGGAACGUGCCUAGUAGUGGGGGAUAACUACUCGAAAGAGUGGCUAAUACCGCAUGAGAUCUACGGAUGAAAGCAGGGGAUCGCAAGACCUUGUGCUACUAGAGCGGCCGAUGGCAGAUUAGGUAGUUGGUGGGAAAAAAGCUUACCAAGCCGACGAUCUGUAGCUGGUCUGAGAGGACGAUCAGCCACACUGAGACUGAGACACGGCCCAGACUCCUACGGGAGGCAGCAGUGGGGAAUUUUGGACAAUGGGCGAAAGCCUGAUCCAGCAAUGCCGCGUGCAGGAUGAAGGCCUUCGGGUUGUAAACUGCUUUUGUACGGAACGAAAAGCCCCGGGUUAAUACCCUGGGGUCAUGACGGUACCGUAAGAAUAAGCACCGGCUAACUACGUGCCAGCAGCCGCCGUAA